GACGAACGCUGGCGGCGUGCUUAACACAUGCAAGUCGAACGGAAAGGCCCUUCGGGGUCCUCGAGUGGCGAACGGGUGAGUAACACGUGGGUGAUCUGCCCUGCACUUUGGGAUAAGCCUGGGAAACUGGGUCUAAUACCGAAUAGGACCACGCGCUUCAUGGAGUGUGGUGGAAAGCUUUUGCGGUGUGGGAUGGGCCCGCGGCCUAUCAGCUUGUUGGUGGGGUAAUGGCCUACCAAGGCGACGACGGGUAGCCGGCCUGAGAGGGUGACCGGCCACACUGGGACUGAGAUACGGCCCAGACUCCUACGGGAGGCAGCAGUGGGGAAUAUUGCACAAUGGGCGCAAGCCUGAUGCAGCGACGCCGCGUGAGGGAUGACGGCCUUCGGGUUGUAAACCUCUUUCAAUAGGGACGAAGCGCAAGUGACGGUACCUAUAGAAGAAGCACCGGCCAACUACGUG
rnacentral:rRNA from 1 species